rnacentral:rRNA from 1 species
UACGUAGGGGCGAGCCUUGUCCGGAAUGACUGGGCGUAAAGGGCGCGUAGACGGCUUUUUAAGUCUGGAGUGAAAGUCCUGCUUUCAAGGUGGGAAGUGCUUUGGAGACUGGGGAGCUUGAGUGCGGAAGAGGUAAGUGGAAUUCCCAGUGUAGCGGUGAAAUGCGUAGAGAUUGGGAGGAACACCAGUGGCGAAGGCGACUUACUGGGCCGUAACUGACGUUGAUGCGCGAAAGCGUGGGGAGCGAACAGGAUUAGAUACCCGUGUAGUCCCUGAGCGGG